rnacentral:rRNA from 1 species
GACGAACGCUGGCGGCGUGCUUAACACAUGCAAGUCGAACGAUGAAGCCUAGCUUGCUAGGUGGAUUAGUGGCGAACGGGUGAGUAAUACGUGAGUAACCUACCUUUAACUCUGGGAUAAGCCUGGGAAACUGGGUCUAAUACCGGAUACGACCAAUCUCCGCAUGGGGUGUUGGUGGAAAGCGUUAUGUAGUGGUUAUAGAUGGGCUCACGGCCUAUCAGCUUGUUGGUGAGGUAACGGCUCACCAAGGCGACGACGGGUAGCCGGCCUGAGAGGGUGACCGGCCACACUGGGACUGAGACACGGCCCAGACUCCUACGGGAGGCAGCAGUGGGGAAUAUUGCACAAUGGGCGCAAGCCUGAUGCAGCGACGCCGCGUGAGGGAUGACGGCCUUCGGGUUGUAAACCUCUGUUAGCAGGGAAGAAGAGAGAUUGACGGUACCUGCAGAGAAAGCGCCGGCUAACUACGUGCCAGCAGCCGCGGUAAUACGUAGGGCGCGAGCGUUGUCCGGAAUUAUUGGGCGUAAAGAGCUUGUAGGGCGGUUUGUCGCGUCUGCUGUGAAAGGCCGGAGCUUAACUCAGUGUAUUGCAGUGGGUACGGGCAGACUAGAGUGCAGUAGGGGAGACUGGAAUUCCUGGUGUAGCGGUGGAAUGCGCAGAUAUCAGGAGGAACACCGAUGGCGAAGGCAGGUCUCUGGGCUGUAACUGACGCUGAGAAGCGAAAGCAUGGGGAGCGAACAGGAUUAGAUACCCUGGUAGUCCAUGCCGUAAACGUUGGGCACUAGGUGUGGGGAACAUUCCACGUUUUCCGCGCCGUAGCUAACGCAUUAAGUGCCCCGCCUGGGGAGUACGGCCGCAAGGCUAAAACUCAAAGAAAUUGACGGGGGCCCGCACAAGCGGCAGAGCAUGCGGAUUAAUUCGAUGCAACGCGAAGAACCUUACCAAGGCUUGACAUAUACUGGACCGCAUCAGAGAUGGUGUUUCCCUUCGGGGCUGGUAUACAGGUGGUGCAUGGUUGUCGUCAGCUCGUGUCGUGAGAUGUUGGGUUAAGUCCCGCAACGAGCGCAACCCUCGUUCUAUGUUGCCAGCACGUUAUGGUGGGGACUCAUAGGAGACUGCCGGGGUCAACUCGGAGGAAGGUGGGGAUGACGUCAAAUCAUCAUGCCCCUUAUGUCUUGGGCUUCACGCAUGCUACAAUGGCCGGUACAGAGGGUUGCGAUACUGUGAGGUGGAGCUAAUCCCUAAAAGCCGGUCUCAGUUCGGAUUGGGGUCUGCAACUCGACCCCAUGAAGUCGGAGUCGCUAGUAAUCGCAGAUCAGCAACGCUGCGGUGAAUACGUUCCCGGGCC